AGAGUUUGAUUAUGGCUCAGGAUGAACGCUAGCUACAGGCUUAACACAUGCAAGUCGAGGGGCAGCAUUAUCGAAGCUUGCUUUGAUAGAUGGCGACCGGCGCACGGGUGAGUAACGCGUAUCCAACCUUCCCCAUAGUAGGGCAUAGCCCGUAGAAAUGCGGAUUAAUACCCUAUGUAUUCCGAGGAUGACAUCUGAUUCGGAACAAAGGUUCACCGCUAUGGGAUGGGGAUGCGUCUGAUUAGGUAGUAGGCGGGGUAACGGCCCACCUAGCCGACGAUCAGUAGGGGUUCUGAGAGGAAGGUCCCCCACAUUGGAACUGAGACACGGUCCAAACUCCUACGGGAGGCAGCAGUGAGGAAUAUUGGUCAAUGGGCGAGAGCCUGAACCAGCCAAAAGUAGCGUGCAGGACGACGGCCCUAUGGGUUGUAAACUGCUUUUAUACAGGGAUAAAGUCGGGGACGCGUUCCCCGUUUGCAGGUACUGUAUGAAUAAGGACCGGCUAAUUCCGUGCCAGCCGCCGC
rnacentral:rRNA from 1 species